rnacentral:lncRNA from 1 species
UUGAAUCAUCGUUGCUUGGGUGAGAUCUCUUUUGUGAAAAUGAUGACGUGGCAGAUCUGGCUUUAGAUGAUUUGUCUUCAAAGAAUCUAGAUGGUUCUGUUAACGUUGUUGUUGUGGUUGUUGUUGGUGUUGUUGUUGUUUGUGUUGGGUUGAUGCAUGGUGGUGUUAUUGUUUCAGGAACUUGGAAUUCUGUUUCUUCUUUUUUGGUUAUUUUGUGAGCCAUUUUUUUUUAAGGCUUUUUUUCUUCUUGAAAUGAAAGAGUUUUUUUGGUUUGGUUGUUGGUGUGGUUGAAGGAAGAGAUUGAGAUUGAGAAUUUGAGAAUUGUUGAGAAGAGAGGUUGUAGUAUAAAGGGAUGAGAUGAGAUGAGAUAGGUAAAUUGUGCAAAUUGAGAAUGCAAUUGGGAAAUGGAAAUUGAAUAUUAUGGACAUUAUGGAGACGCGUAUCAUAAUGCCUUUUUGUGACCCACUAUGCAAUUUUACUACUUUGUCCAUUAUUUUAUUUGUCACACACCGCCAUUCUCAUUGUGCUCUCUUUUGACGUGGUCUACUUUUAUUUUAGGGUUAUUCUAAAUCUGUUAAAAAAAUAAUUAGUCGUUUUAAUAGGAAAAUGAGUAGGAUUUAGGUCACCAGUACAGUAAUAGUUAUCUUCAAAAGUUGAGUGUCAAGUAAAGAGUUUUCAUUUUAACAAGAAAUUAAGUAAUUUCUAUUAGGGUGGAAACAAGUCGGAUCGUUUAACAGGACUUACAGUCUAACAUGUUUAAAAUCUAGUUUGAUCCAACUCGUUUAAUAAAAAAGUUAGGCUCAAGUUUUUAAUAAAACAUAUUUACUUAAAUAGACCAGGUUAAGAUUUAAAAAAAGCCAAUUAAGUCCGUCAUAUCGACAUAUUAAGCAUUUUAUAUAUAAUGUCUUUUAUUAUUGAUAUUGUUGAAGUUUUUUUCUUCAUAGACUCAAGUCAUCGUAGGGUUUGGUUAUU